AUUGAACGCUGGCGGCAUGCUUUACACAUGCAAGUCGAACGGCAGCGGGGUAGUGCUUGCACUACUGCCGGCGAGUGGCGAACGGGAGAGUAAUAUAUCGAAACGUACCGAGUAGUGGAGGAUAACAAAGCGAAAGAUUUGCUAAUACCGCAUACGUCCUGAGGGAGAAAGCGGGGGAGCGCAAGAGCUCGCGUAAUUCGAGCGGCCGAUAACUGUUUAGCUAGUUGGGUGGGUAAAGGCCUACCAAGGGGAGGAUCAGUAGGCGGUCUGAGAGGACGAACCGGCAACCUGGGACUGAGACACGGCCCCAACUCCUACGGGAGGGAGGAGUGGGGAAAUUUGGACAAUGGGGGCAACCCUUAUCCAGCCAUGGCGGGUGUAUUAAGGAGGCCUUCGAGUUGUAAAGUCUUUUUUUUAGGGAAGAAAAGGGAAGUGCUAAUACCACUUUUUGCUGACGGUAACUAAAGAAUAAGCACCGGCUAACUACGUG
rnacentral:rRNA from 1 species